rnacentral:rRNA from 1 species
GGGGAAUUUUCCGCAAUGGGCGCAAGCCUGACGGAGCAAGACCGCGUGAGGGAGGAAGGCCCAAGCGGUUGUAAACCUCUUUUCUCAGGGAAGAAGAAAGUGACGGUACCUGAGGAAUCAGCCUCGGCUAACUCCGUGCCAGCAGCCGCGGUAAUACGGAGGAGGCAAGCGUUAUCCGGAAUUAUUGGGCGUAAAGCGUCCGUAGGUGGUUAUGUAAGUCUGCUGUCAAAGCACAGGGCUUAACCCUGUAAAGGCAGUGGAAACUACAAGACUCGAGUGCGGUAGGGGCAGAGGGAAUUCCCAGUGUAGCGGUGAAAUGCGUAGAGAUUGGGAAGAACACCUGUGGCGAAAGCGCUCUGCUGGACCGCAACUGACACUCAGGGACGAAAGCUAGGGGAGCGAAUGGGAUUAGAUACCCCA